rnacentral:rRNA from 1 species
GACGAACGCUGGCGGCGUGGAUUAGGCAUGCAAGUCGAACGGCAGCACGGGAGCAAUCCUGGUGGCGAGUGGCGAACGGGUGAGUAAUAUAUCGGAACGUGCCCAGUCGUGGGGGAUAACUACUCGAAAGAGUAGCUAAUACCGCAUACGAUCUACGGAUGAAAGCGGGGGAUCGCAAGACCUCGCGCGAUUGGAGCGGCCGAUAUCAGAUUAGGUAGUUGGUAGGGUAAAAGCCUACCAAGCCUGCGAUCUGUAGCUGGUCUGAGAGGACGACCAGCCACACUGGAACUGAGACACGGUCCAGACUCCUACGGGAGGCAGCAGUGGGGAAUUUUGGACAAUGGGCGCAAGCCUGAUCCAGCAAUGCCGCGUGCAGGACGAAGGCCUUCGGUUGUAAACUAGCUUUGUACGGAGCGAAAAGGUACUCUACUAAUACUAGGGGCUCAUGACGGUACCGUAAGAAUAAGCACCGGCUAACUACGUAGCCAGCAGCCGG